UACGAGCGUGGGACUGUGCAAUUCUCGGAUUGGGAAAGGGAGGAGUGGAAAUAACCCCGGCAGUGCCAGGCUUGCUGGUGGUCAGGAACAGAUGAUUGCAGCCCUGUGCUGAUCGCCUGCCUUCCUCCUGCCAUUCAGAGUGCUGCUGUCUCGUGUACUUACUGUUAAGGAUCCUGGAAAAGGGAGUGGUUCCUCCUAGCUGCAAACAAGGGCGCUACUUUUCUUUUAUCUUUAAUAGAAUUACGUUUUAUAGGUGUGUCUAGGCAACACAAGGGAAUGUGAAAGACUUUCAGAGGGAAUGUUUGUGAAUACAUCUGGUGUGUACUAAAAAGCUGGAAAACCCCUAAGUAAAUGCAAUAUCGAUAGAAAGCGAGUUUCUUGAAGAGUCAUCUGCUAAACUCCACUAGAGUCAUCUCUACAGGUGUGGUUAAGAGAAAAAAAAAUUGCCAUUAAGGAAUCAGCAAAUAGGAUGUCCGAAGUGAGGAUAUAGCACCUAUCUCUGAGAUCAAAGUCAUCUGACCAAAAAUGAUGCCUCUGAGACUAUAACAAAGGAAUGAAUAAUGAAAUAUAAGAAUGAGGAUUCUGCACUAAGUCUAUGGGGAAGAAAACAAUGACUGCUAGUGGGAAGACUUAAGCAUGUCAACUUUUCCUUUGUGGGAGAGGUUAGGAGGCUGAGUGGAUAAUCAAAAGUGCUGCAACACGGAGAUCAGCUGAGUCUGAAAGGGGAAGACUAUCCAUUGUGCUGAUUAUAAGUAUCCUUCCGUUCUAGAUAGGUAUAAGUUUUAAUUUUGCACUGGGUUGGAGAACUCUAAGGAAUUUAGACAUAUAAGUUAUUUUUCUUAUUCAACUUUCAUUAAAGAAAACAGUUUUAAUGUUUUGUUUGUUUGUUAAAAAAAAAAAAAAAAGAAAAAGAAAAGAAAGAAAAGAAAAGAGGGCCAGGCACGGUGACUCACGCCUGUAAUCCCAGCACUUUGGGAGGCCGAGGCAGGUGGUUCACCUGAGGUCAGGAGUUCGAGAUCAGCCUGGUCAACAUGGUGAAACCCCGUCUCUACUAAAGAAAAACAAAAAAUUACCCAGGCAUGGUGGCACAUGCCUGUAAUCCCAGCUACUUGAGAGGCUGAGGCAGGAGAAUCGCUUGGACCCAUGAGGCAGAGGUUGCAGUGAGCCAAGGUCCUGCCAUUGCACUCCAGUCUGGGUGACAGAGUGAGACUCAGUCUCAAAAAAAAAAAAAAAAGAAAAAAGAAAUAAAAGAAAAGAAGAGGAAAAGAUAACUCUGUUAUACCAAUUGCUAGGUAUGUGGAAGAGAAAACAACCAACAGUGUAUAAGGGCGACAGAAUCAAGGCUGGGAUAUGGAAGGAGGGGAGGAAGAGAGGAAGAGAGAACAGAAAAUAAUUUUUCCAAGUAUGUGGUUCUUGAUCCAAGAUCUGAAAAUAUAAGGUUUAACUUGCCAAAGUAGGGCAAUGGCUUGCCAAUGGGACAACGGCUGCUUUGUAAAACCAUUUGCUCUGAGUUCAGAUAAGUAAAAACUAUUUCUCCUAUUUUCCUUGACUCUCUCAUGCAUGAUCUCAGGUUCUCUGUAUUUUCCAGUUUUGGAUGUCACCACCUAUAUCAGUUAGAGUCCACCUGCUAUAGUAAACAACCGACACAAUUACAGUGAUUUAAAUAAGUAAACUCUAUUUCUGUAUGUAAUAGUAGUCCUGUUAGUUCCAGUUAUCAGGCAGCUUUGCCCCAUGAAGACAUUCACAAAAUCAGACAAUUUUCCUUCUGGGUUCCUACUAUUCAAUAGUUUGUGCCCUUGUGUAUUCAGUCAAAAACAAACUGCUUCCACAUCUUCAUUCCAACCCAUGGGAGGGGGAAAAAGACUCACCCACACAAAAAAGCUUAACUUGAAUCAUCCAGAAGUAGCAUCCAAUAUCUCCACUCACACACAUUGUUCCAAACGUGAGGUACAUAUGCACACCUAGCCAGAGGAAAGCCAGGGAAAUACAGGUUUUAGCUGGAUGGUCAAAUGUUUAGAUAAAGAUGUAUUUAUAGGGAAUAAAGGAAAUGAAUUUAGGGAGAAAAGCACUACUUGCCUGAUUUCUGAUUUCUUCAAGUUACCUUCUGUUCAAGUUGGCUUUGGCUAUGCAGUCAGUGGUUUGCUUUCAUUAUGCAUUUCCUGACCUUAGUCCUAUUCCUGGUUCCAUUUUUAUCAACCCAUUACUAUCUUUCAUCCUCUCAUGUAUGCUUUUUUCUUUAUUUUCUGAUUCCACUCCCACCUCUCAACCCAAAAUUUUGCUGUAACCUCUUUCAGCAGUAUAUUUUGGUACCUGGUACAGUCAAAGUGCUGAGUGUUAGGGUUCCAUUAAAGGAAAAAUAUACAUUUUAUAUAGUUUCAUAAAGAAAGAUUUCUUACAGUUAAGUAAAUUAAACAGGAUAUCAUGUACAUAAUGCAUUUGAUUCAGAAGUUGAGUUUUAUGACAUUUAGAAACUGUAACAAUAAGGAUAAAAGAUACUUCUAGAAAAAUUCAUACAUUCAAAAAAUACUAUUGUAAUAAAAGUAUAAAAUUUCUAUAAUAAAGAGAAAGUAAUACACUUUGUUGGAUUUUGUGCAUGCAAUACAUUUUUAUUGUGCAUCAAGUAUAUUCUUUACACUGUUUUGCCUGCUGGGCUUCAAUCAUUAUCAAAAUAGCUAAAACUCAUUGACCAUAUGAAUUCAGUAUUCUACUGGGGUAAGAGGGAUAAUUAAUUAAAAAUACUUAUCAGUGAAUCACAUACUAGGUUAGAAGGCAAGGCAUCAAACUAUGCUACUUUUCAUAGAUAUAUCUGGUUCUUUACUCUUCAUAAACAAAUGGAAGAUUUUCCUCACUCCUUUGAGAUUAUGCAUAAGAAAAUGACGUAUAGACAUAUUCAAUAAUUAUUAUAAACAUAUUCAAUAACUAAUAUAGGCAUAUUCAAUAACUCAUACACAAUUUCCCAUGUUCUCUUCUUUCUUUCUACUGCUGAAGUUAACUGGGUAAACAGAAGGUGGUGGUAGAAUCUUAGCUUAAUAGGUCAUCCAUUAGCUGUAUCCAAAGGAACUACAAUCCCAUGAGACUCCCUGCAGACCUACGUGGUGUUUGUAGAAUGACCUUGGUUAUUUAUACCACUGAGAUUUGAGACUGAUUGUCACAUCACUAUAACCUACUUACACUGUUUGAAACAGACAUUGUCAAUUCAAAACAAACAAAGAAAACCAAACAAAAAACAGAUUAGGGAAAGGAGAAUAAACAACAACAAAGAGAAGAUGAUUUGCUGUUCAAAACGGGUGGUGAAUAGAGAUUUUCCAUUGAGUAUGAGACACAUGAAUAAGAAAUGAAGCUGUGAUAUAGCAAGACCAACCCAUCCUCUUUCUCCUCCUUCUCAACUCAACGUGAAGACAACAAGGAUGAAGACUUUUGAUGAUCCACUUCCACUUAAUGACUAUCAUGAGAAAUGCUCAGCGACUGCAGACAUAAAGAGAAAGCUUUCAAUUAAAGUUUCAAUGAUGGGAUAGGAACUGAGAAGUCUGUGGAGUUUUCUGCCUAGGAGUACCCUUGGAAAAGCCACUGCUAUGCCCAACCAGCACCGGGAAUCCCAGAUCACAUGCAAUCAUAGGAGUUGCCCUGGAGGCAGAAGCUCAGCACAUGUUCUGGUACAAGGAGAUUACAGUGUUGUGCAAAGCAAAGGGAUGAAUGAUGCCCAACUCUCUAACAUGGGCCUCGGUUUCCACAUAGAGGUUGGAAAUGAGCUAGGAAGCAGAUCCACCAUAAAUGGAGAAAGAAGAGAAACAAGUUGAGCUUUUAAUGACCCCGUAGCCUGACUCUUUGGUAUGGAAAUGGAAAGAGAUCCUCAUGGAAACAUAAAUAAAAUAUAUCACAUAUAACUUACACCAAUAAUUAUUUUCUCCCCCAGUACCUCAAUUUUGCCCAGAUUGGACUCUAUUUUAUUUCCUUAUUUUUCCACAGUAAUUUACUUAAGUAAAACCAGGAUUUAUUUUACUCAUCUCCAUGUCAGUUGCUAAGUCCAAGGGAUGUAUAUAGUUUAAAAAAUAUCACAAAGGAUGAUAUGGUGAAAUUGAACAACACAUUAUUACCUGAUGUACAGUCAUUGAUUUUGUAUACUAGCCUUUACCCCUGGCUACUGAUAAUUUUGGAUUUUGAAGAUUCAAAGACAGAGACUUGUAAAUACUUUAGUUUUUACACUUCUUUAUCAUACUCAUACCUGGGGUGGAAAAGUAUCAUUUAAUAUAUUAAGAACAUUGUUAUAGUACAUGUAUUUAAAUAACUCACAAGAGCAAGUAAUCCUACCUCAUGUCAUCUAUUUUUGAAAAAAUAUUUUAUGUAUUACCACCUGCUUCUUCCAGAUGACCUUUAGCAAAACUUUGUGAAGUUUCAUUGUGGCUGUUGUCUUAGAAAGAUGGUCUUGUUAAUAAGAAGGUCAGUGUUUUAGCCUUGCAAUAUAAGAUGAUGUGCAUUUGUUUAGAGGGAGACUUUAGGAUACAGCGAAGUGUUUUACAAAUGUUUACCAUUUUUAUUUUUAUUAGAUUUUUGAAAGUAUUUGGUUUAAAAUUUUCUUCUUUUUAUUCAACCAGCUCUUUAAAUUACCCAUCAAUUCUUGUUAAGAGUGUGUAUUGUGUAUCUCUCUAUACAUUUCAUGUAUUUUUGUAUGAAUUGUGCUAUUUUUAUAAUUUUUCUAUUUAGCCUCUGUAUCCAAUAUGAUUCAAUGUAUACAUGGAUGCCAUACAUAGGUACUGAUUAUUUCCUCUUUUAUUAUUAAUAAAUUCUAAUUUAUUUCAAUGUGUUAUCUCUGUAAUACAUAAUAUUCUAGACAAUAUUG